UGGUGGAGUGAUUUGUCUGGUUGAUUCCGUUAACGAACGAGACCUCAGCCUGCUAACUAGUCGUGUGAAUUUUCUAACAAGUGAAGGUGAUGUUGACUGUGCGGCUUUCGGGUUGCAUUGCGACAUUAUUGGAUCUAUGAACUAUUCACAUAUGCCUAUGCUCUCGGGUGUAGGUCAGACUUCUUAGAGGGACUAUUACGUGGUAAACGAAUGGAAGUUUGAGG
rnacentral:rRNA from 1 species